rnacentral:rRNA from 1 species
UCGAUCAUACUAGCACUAAUGCAUCGGAUCCCAUCAGAACUCCGAAGUUAAGCGUUCUUGGGCGAGAGCAGUACUAGGAUGGGUGACCCCUUGGGAAGUCCUCGUGUUGCACCU